CAAUAGCGUAUAUUAAAGUUGUUGCAGUUAAAAAGCUCGUAGUUGGAUUUCUGGUGGGAGCGAUCGGUCUGGCGCUUAGCGCGAGUACUUGCAUCGUCUCCGGCCAUCCUUGGGGAGAGUCUGUCUGGCAUUAGGUUGUCGGGCAGAGGAUCCUCAUCGUUUACUGUGAAAAAAUUAGAGUGUUCAAAGCAGGCUUAUGCCGUUGAAUAUAUUAGCAUGGAAUAAUAAGAUAGGACUUUGGUACUAUUUUGUUGGUUUGCGCACCAAAGUAAUGAUUAAUAGGGACAGUUGGGGGUAUUCGUAUUCCGUUGUCAGAGGUGAAAUUCUUGGAUUUACGGAAGACGAACUACUGCUAAAGCAUUUACCAAGGAUGUUUUCAUUAA
rnacentral:rRNA from 1 species